AAUUUGUAUCAAAAUUUCAGUUUCACAUUUUCUCGCUAUCCGAGAAAAUAUCAAAAUGGAAAGAAAGUCGAACUUAACAAGCCUUGCUCUUCUGCAAUUUAAGAGGGACUUGGAAAUGUUUCAGAAGAAAUGCAAAAAUUUAAGAGCACAUUCACGUUUACAGGCCGUGCGAGAUCCAUCACUGUACCAAUUAUUUGUUGAUAUAAGAAAAGAAAACAGAAAAUGGGCUCGUGAGAAGAAGUAUGUGCUUGAUACAUUGAAUGCUGGUGGAAGCAAGUCUAUAUAUGAUAUUUGAAGAGAAGCAAAUAGUAGGUCUAAUAACUAAUGUUAUUUAAUAAAUAGGGUGCCUCUAACGGAUUUUGGACCCCUUUUUCCACAAUGGUCCCAUUUCACCUCCCAUUUCUGGUGCCGGGGAUGCCCCACGCAAUUUGCGCAUGUUAAAUUCUUAUGUAUUUUACUCAGAUGAUGAGACAAUUAGCGAAAUAUCCAGCAAGGAUUCGUUUUCUGAGCAACGUUUUUAUGUUCCGAAACCUAAAGGAGUCAAUGUAUUAUCUUCUCACGACUCUUCGUACUUCGCUUAUCCACGUACAUAUGCACCUAGACUAACACCAAAAUACCAGAGUACUUUAAAAAAUUAGAAAAAUCUCUAUUGUAAUCAGAAGGUGAACGCUAAUGCCCAUAACUCUCGAUUGAAUGCAUCAGAUAUCAACAAAGAAAUGAUAAUUAAUUUCUGAAAAAAAACUAUAAUGGUCGCGAUGAUCUUUCCAUAACUUUUUCAAACGAAUUAGGAGUCAAAAUUUGGAGGUAGAUAUUUUCAUGAGAUUAUGAAAAAUAUCACUUUAUAAUAAAAAACAAAUUGAUU